AGUGAACGCUGGCGGUAGGCCUAACACAUGCAAGUCGAACGGCAGCACAGUAAGAGCUUGCUCUUACGGGUGGCGAGUGGCGGACGGGUGAGGAAUACAUCGGAAUCUACUUUUUCGUGGGGGAUAACGUAGGGAAACUUACGCUAAUACCGCAUACGACCUACGGGUGAAAGCAGGGGAUCUUCGGACCUUGCGCGAUUGAAUGAGCCGAUGUCGGAUUAGCUAGUUGGCGGGGUAAAGGCCCACCAAGGCGACGAUCCGUAGCUGGUCUGAGAGGAUGAUCAGCCAACCUGGAAAUGAGAAACGGUCCAAACUCCUACGGGGAGCAGCAGGGGGGAAUAUUGGACAAUGGGCGGAAGCCUGAUCCAGCCAUACCGCGGGGGUGAAGAAGGCCUUCGGGUUGUAAAGCCCUUUUGUUGGGAAAGAAAAGCAGCAGGUUAAUACCCCGCUGUUCUGACGGUACCCAAAGAAUAAACACCGGCUAACUUCGU
rnacentral:rRNA from 1 species